AAUGCAUGUGAUUGGGACAUAGUAUACAUUUGCAUCAGGAAUUUCCUACUAUUAUAGAAUAUUGCUUAGGUGUAUUCUUGACGUUUGUAUAGUUGAAGACAGUCAAGGAAAACAAAUAGUAUAAGAUAAACUUUCUUAUAGAACACAAGUUCAGAUAUCCUUGGAGUGUAAGCUUAGAGCACCAUUAUCGAUGCUAUAUCACCCUUCUCACACAUUUUCCAAACACAUAUGGUCAGGAACACUUGGAUAAUUGAGAGAAAAAUACAUUCUUUAGUUUAUGUAUGCUCUCUAAUUUGAGAAUGUUUUUUCCUUUUCUUAUGGGAUGAAAUUAAUAAUAUAAUAUAAAUGUGAAGUAUAUUGUGUGGUUUAA